UACAGAGGGGGCAAGCGUUGUUCGGAAUUACUGGGCGUAAAGGGCGCGUAGGCGGCCUUCUAAGUCAGACGUGAAAUCCCCCGGCUUAACCUGAGAACUGCGUCUGAUACUGGGAGGCUCGAGUGCGGGAGAGGGAUGCGGAAUUCCAGGUGUAGCGGUGAAAUGCGUAGAUAUCUGGAGGAAUACCGGUGGCGAAGGCGGCAUCCUGGACCGAGGUUGACACUGAGGAGCGAAAGCCAGGGGAGCAAACGGG
rnacentral:rRNA from 1 species